rnacentral:rRNA from 1 species
GACGAACGCUGGCGGCGUGCCUAAUACAUGCAAGUCGAGCGAGCGGAACUAACAGAUUUACUUCGGUAAUGACGUUAGGAAAGCGAGCGGCGGAUGGGUGAGUAACACGUGGGGAACCUGCCCCAUAGUCUGGGAUACCACUUGGAAACAGGUGCUAAUACCGGAUACGAAAGCAGAUCGCAUGAUCAGCUUUUAAAAGGCGGCGUAAGCUGUCGCUAUGGGAUGGCCCCGCGGUGCAUUAGCUAGUUGGUAAGGUAAAGGCUUACCAAGGCGAUGAUGCAUAGCCGAGUUGAGAGACUGAUCGGCCACAUUGGGACUGAGACACGGCCCAAACUCCUACGGGAGGCAGCAGUAGGGAAUCUUCCACAAUGGACGCAAGUCUGAUGGAGCAACGCCGCGUGAGUGAAGAAGGUGUUCGGAUCGUAAAGCUCUGUUGUUGGUGAAGAAGGAUAGAGGUAGUAACUGGCCUUUAUUUGACGGUAAUCAACCAGAAAGUCACGGCUAACUACGUG